rnacentral:rRNA from 1 species
UACGAAGGGGGCUAGCGUUGCUCGGAAUCACUGGGCGUAAAGCGCACGUAGGCGGAUUGCUAAGUCAGGGGUGAAAUCCUGGAGCUCAACUCCAGAACUGCCUUUGAUACUGGCGAUCUUGAGUCCGGGAGAGGUGAGUGGAACUGCGAAGUGUAGAGGUGAAAUUCGUAGAUAUUCGCAAGAACAUCAGUGGCGAAGGCGGCUCACUGGCCCGGUACUGACGCUGAGGUGCGAAAGCGUGGGAGCAAACAGG